AACGAACGCUGGCGGCAUGCCUAACACAUGCAAGUCGAACGAGACCUUCGGGUCUAGUGGCGCACGGGUGCGUAACGCGUGGGAAUCUGCCCUUGGGUUCGGAACAACAGUUGGAAACGACUGCUAAUACCGGAUGAUGACUUCGGUCCAAAGCUUUAUCGCCCAAGGAUGAGCCCGCGUAGGAUUAGCUUGUUGGUGAGGUAAAAGCUCACCAAGGCGACGAUCCUUAGCUGGUCUGAGAGGAUGAUCAGACACACUGGGACUGAGAAACGGCCCAGACUCCUACGGGAGGCAGCAGUGGGGAAUAUUGGACAAUGGGCGAAAGCCUGAUCCAGCAAUGCCGCGUGAGUGAUGAAGGCCUUAGGGUUGUAAAGCUCUUUUACCCGGGAUGAUAAUGACAGUACCGGGAGAAUAAGCCCCGGCUAACUCCGUGCCAGCCGCCGCCGUAA
rnacentral:rRNA from 1 species